rnacentral:rRNA from 1 species
UUGAACGCUGGCGGCAUGCCUAACACAUGCAAGUCGAACGGCAGCACAGCAGUAGCAAUACUGUGGGUGGCGAGUGGCGGACGGGUGAGGAAUACGUCGGAAUCUGCCCAGUCGUGGGGGAUAACUAGCCGAAAGGUUAGCUAAUACCGCAUACGACCGAGAGGUGAAAGCGGGGACCGCAAGGCCUCGCGCGAUUGGAUGAGCCGACGUCGGAUUAGCUAGUUGGCGGGGUAAAGGCCCACCAAGGCGACGAUCCGUAGCUGGUCUGAGAGGAUGAUCAGCCACACUGGAACUGAGACACGGUCCAGACUCCUACGGGAGGCAGCAGUGGGGAAUAUUGGACAAUGGGCGCAAGCCUGAUCCAGCAAUGCCGCGUGUGUGAAGAAGGCCUUCGGGUUGUAAAGCACUUUUAUCAGGAACGAAAAGCGUUGGAUUAAUACUCUGACGUGCUGACGGUACCUGAGGAAUAAGCACCGGCUAACUUCGUG